UUAAGCGACUAAGCGUACACGGUGGAUGCCCUGGCAGUCAGAGGCGAUGAAGGGCGUGCUAAUCUGCGAUAAGCGCCGGUAAGGUGAUAUGAACCGUUAUAACCGGCGAUACCCGAAUGGGGAAACCCAGUGUGACUCGUCACACUAUCAUUAACUGAAUCCAUAGGUUAAUGAGGCGAACCGGGGGAACUGAAACAUCUAAGUACCCCGAGGAAAAGAAAUCAACCGAGAUUCCCCCAGUAGCGGCGAGCGAACGGGGAGGAGCCCAGAGCCUGAAUCAGCAUGUGUGUUAGUGGAAGCGUCUGGAAAGGCGCGCGAUACAGGGUGACAGCCCCGUACACAAAAGCGCAUGUGCUGUGAGCUCGAUGAGUAGGGCGGGACACGUGGUAUCCUGUCUGAAUAUGGGGGGACCAUCCUCCAAGGCUAAAUACUCCUGACUGACCGAUAGUGAACCAGUACCGUGAGGGAAAGGCGAAAAGAACCCCGGCGAGGGGAGUGAAAAAGAACCUGAAACCGUGUACGUACAAGCAGUGGGAGCACCCUUUGGGGUGUGACUGCGUACCUUUUGUAUAAUGGGUCAGCGACUUAUAUUCUGUAGCAAGGUUAACCGAAUAGGGGAGCCGGAGGGAAACCGAGUCUUAAUUGGGCGUUAAGUUGCAGGGUAUAGACCCGAAACCCGGUGAUCUAGCCAUGGGCAGGUUGAAGGUUGGGUAACACUAACUGGAGGACCGAACCGACUAAUGUUGAAAAAUUAGCGGAUGACCUGUGGCUGGGGGUGAAAGGCCAAUCAAACCGGGAGAUAGCUGGUUCUCCCCGAAAGCUAUUUAGGUAGCGCCUCGUGAAUUCAUCUCCGGGGGUAGAGCACUGUUUCGGCUAGGGGGCCAUCCCGGCUUACCAACCCGAUGCAAACUGCGAAUACCGGAGAAUGUUAUCACGGGAGACACACGGCGGGUGCUAACGUCCGUCGUGAAGAGGGAAACAACCCAGACCGCCAGCUAAGGUCCCAAAGUCAUGGUUAAGUGGGAAACGAUGUGGGAAGGCCCAGACAGCCAGGAUGUUGGCUUAGAAGCAGCCAUCAUUUAAAGAAAGCGUAAUAGCUCACUGGUCGAGUCGGCCUGCGCGGAAGAUGUAACGGGGCUAAACCAUGCACCGAAGCUGCGGCAGCGAACGUAUCACUUAAAGCGAUUCAGCGGGUUACGAUUGACGGAGCGAAGCGACGUCAAAGCGUAUACAAAGUCGAGUCGGUUUAAGGAUACGUUCGUUGGGUAGGGGAGCGUUCUGUAAGCCUGUGAAGGUGGCCUGUGAGGGUUGCUGGAGGUAUCAGAAGUGCGAAUGCUGACAUAAGUAACGAUAAAGCGGGUGAAAAGCCCGCUCGCCGGAAGACCAAGGGUUCCUGUCCAACGUUAAUCGGGGCAGGGUGAGUCGACCCCUAAGGCGAGGCCGAAAGGCGUAGUCGAUGGGAAACAGGUUAAUAUUCCCGUACUUGGUGUUACUGCGAAGGGGGGACGGAGAAGGCUAUGUUGGCCGGGCGACGGUUGUCCCGGUUUAAGCGUGUAGGUGUGUGUUCCAGGUAAAUCCGGUUCACUUUAACACUGAGGCGUGAUGACGAGGCACUACGGUGCUGAAGCAACAAAUGCCCUGCUUCCAGGAAAAGCCUCUAAGCAUCAGGUAACAUCAAAUCGUACCCCAAACCGACACAGGUGGUCAGGUAGAGAAUACCAAGGCGCUUGAGAGAACUCGGGUGAAGGAACUAGGCAAAAUGGUGCCGUAACUUCGGGAGAAGGCACGCUGACACGUAGGUGAAGUGAUUUACUCAUGGAGCUGAAGUCAGUCGAAGAUACCAGCUGGCUGCAACUGUUUAUUAAAAACACAGCACUGUGCAAACACGAAAGUGGACGUAUACGGUGUGACGCCUGCCCGGUGCCGGAAGGUUAAUUGAUGGGGUCAGCGCAAGCGAAGCUCCUGAUCGAAGCCCCGGUAAACGGCGGCCGUAACUAUAACGGUCCUAAGGUAGCGAAAUUCCUUGUCGGGUAAGUUCCGACCUGCACGAAUGGCGUAAUGAUGGCCAGGCUGUCUCCACCCGAGACUCAGUGAAAUUGAACUCGCUGUGAAGAUGCAGUGUACCCGCGGCAAGACGGAAAGACCCCGUGAACCUUUACUAUAGCUUGACACUGAACAUUGAGCCUUGAUGUGUAGGAUAGGUGGGAGGCUUUGAAGUGUGGACGCCAGUCUGCAUGGAGCCGACCUUGAAAUACCACCCUUUAAUGUUUGAUGUUCUAACGUGGACCCGUAAUCCGGGUUGCGGACAGUGUCUGGUGGGUAGUUUGACUGGGGCGGUCUCCUCCUAAAGAGUAACGGAGGAGCACGAAGGUUGGCUAAUCCUGGUCGGACAUCAGGAGGUUAGUGCAAUGGCAUAAGCCAGCUUGACUGCGAGCGUGACGGCGCGAGCAGGUGCGAAAGCAGGUCAUAGUGAUCCGGUGGUUCUGAAUGGAAGGGCCAUCGCUCAACGGAUAAAAGGUACUCCGGGGAUAACAGGCUGAUACCGCCCAAGAGUUCAUAUCGACGGCGGUGUUUGGCACCUCGAUGUCGGCUCAUCACAUCCUGGGGCUGAAGUAGGUCCCAAGGGUAUGGCUGUUCGCCAUUUAAAGUGGUACGCGAGCUGGGUUUAGAACGUCGUGAGACAGUUCGGUCCCUAUCUGCCGUGGGCGCUGGAGAACUGAGGGGGGCUGCUCCUAGUACGAGAGGACCGGAGUGGACGCAUCACUGGUGUUCGGGUUGUCAUGCCAAUGGCACUGCCCGGUAGCUAAAUGCGGAAGAGAUAAGUGCUGAAAGCAUCUAAGCACGAAACUUGCCCCGAGAUGAGUUCUCCCUGAGACUUAGAGUCUCCUGAAGGAACGUUGAAGACGACGACGUUGAUAGGCCGGGUGUGUAAGCGCAGCGAUGCGUUGAGCUAACCGGUACUAAUGAACCGUGAGGCUUAACCUU
rnacentral:rRNA from 2 species